UGUCCUUUAUGUUCCACUAAUCCUGAGCUGAUCAGAAAAGAUCACUGCAGUAAACCCUAUAGUUUAGCAACAUCCUGCCUGCUCUAUGGGCCAUGACUUUGGCUCUGCAAUUCCCAAGCACACCUCACCUUACAGCUUCAAAGCUGUGUGGAGGUCUCUUCAAACAACAAGUUUAUGGUUCUGCUCCACAGUGCUUGCUUGCACAAUAGUGAUGCAUUUCCAGUUACGCAUUUGCGUGUCAGUGGCAUGCCUCUGCAACUUAGGAAUGGAAAUAGAGAGGUGGAGUAAGGACCUUUCCAAAACUCUACCAGCAAGAGGCACUUCAGCUGGUAAGACUCACAAAAUCCUCUCUGGCAGCUCAAGGAGACAUAAAUCAGCCCUUGCAAAGAUGUUCACAGCAACAUGAGCCAUCCCAAAAUGAACCCCACCAAAACACAGUUUCAGUCAGAUGAACUACCCAAACUUCCCUUCAGGCAGUCUCAUGGCAGCACUGCUGGUGCAAGAAAGAGCUGUCAAUAGAAGGAUGUGAGACAGAAAGGCAGCAUCCUUAGUCAUAAAUCUCACUGGGCCACCGUACUCACUUCCUGAAGCUGCCACAUUGAUCCUCCUUUCUGGGAAAUUAGUUUCAGCCUAUAGGAACUACUGAGACACAGAAUUUGUUUUUGUAAGAGUACCGUGUAGUUGGAGGCAUUCUAUUUUGAAAUGAAAAUGUUUAAUCUGCUAAGAACUAGGAGGAAACAUAACAUUAAAAAAAGAAAAAAAAAGUAUGCAAAAUACCAUAAUUAGACUUCUCACGGGUGUAACUCUUCAGGUGUAGCUUAACUGAAAACCAUACGGCACACUAGAAUAGAGUAAUUUAUUUAAAAUUCUUCCUUUGCUUAGAUCUUCUUUUUAUUUAAAAUUUGUCCCAUAUUGACAAUUACAAGAUAUGGAAAGAACUGUCUAUAGCAUUCCUCUUCCAUAAGGCCAAAACUUUUGCUUUCCAACCAACUAUGAAGUGUCUAAGAAAAGAGAAGUUUUAUGCUUUCUUCGGCCAUCACACCAGCUUGUUCCUACUGCCUGAAAGACGAAUAGCAUGUCUAGAUAACUGAACUCUGACAAUCAGAAAAUCAGACUAGUUAGUGAACUGUCAUUUUUUUAAAGCAAGAAGACCCUGUCAAUUCUACCUGUCAAGUGAGUUUGGACAGAUUGAUAAACAUUUCAAGAAAACAGAAUAAAACCUGUUCUCUCCACGAAGCAGACUUUUGUUUAACUUCUCUACUUACAAGCACAUGAUAAGAGAGCACAGCACAAGACUUUCCACGGGACCAGAUUUUAUUACCAAAACUAUUCCAGAUCUUUUGCUCAAGCUACUGCUGUGAAUGGGAAUGACUUGAAAUUUGGUUUCAUGGAUUUCCUGGCAGAUAAGAUAGCAUUUAUGAAUUGCCUUAGCAUUCCUACAUUUGAAGCAAUAUGAAGUAUGAUUGGCAGCAACCCAAUUUCAUUAUUCUUAGAUGAGUCAAUAAGUGUGGAAAGAGAAAUGAAAUGGGCAGCCAAUCAACACACACAAAAAAAUCAGAUCUUCUGAGGCCAAGAAAGUAUUUAUAUGCUGAUGACUCAACUUCUGCAGCAGUGUCUGCAGCAAGAACAGGAAAUAUACUAUUGAACCCUCUUAUGACAACAACUUUGAUGUGAAAGGCCUGAAUAGCUCAUUCUGCCUGCCGUGAUUCAGAGAGCCGGAGCUGUAAUCCUGGAUCUCUGCAGAAUGCACUCACAAGAGCUUCUGAGCUCAUUAAAGGACAUCAGAAAUACAAGGGUCCUGCAGGACACAUGCAUUUAUGGGCUUUGCAAGUUCAAAACGAAUACAGCAGAGCAGAAGAGGCCUUUUAAUCCUGCUUAUUAGCAAAUGAGAGUUUCUGACAUAACCCAAAGGCUCUGGCAGACAGACACCACACAGCUGAAGGACAGACACUGCAACACAAUGGAUUCCUAGCACUGAUACCCCUGGCAAAUGACCUGCACUGGAGAAGCAGCAUUCUUGCUUUCAGGGAAGAAGCCACCUUGCUCAGACUAAUGCUUACCCUUCAGAAGACAUGUCAUCUUCCGUGAAACAAAACGAGGUGCUGAUAGCCUGGAUGAAGUAGCUGGAAGAAAGGGUAAGAGAGCAUGCAAGCUCACAGUGGAAUGGAUGUACUUGAAACCCAAACAAAAAGCAGAAGCUUGCAAGCACUAAGGUGCGUGCAUUAUUUACUGCAUGCCACUGGACUGAGCAGGUUUCUUAGCCGGCCAGAGUUUACCCAUUUCCCCUACCAAGCAGCAAGAAAUGUAAGGCACUGACAAGCAGGGUGAGAGUGGACGGAGCUGGGAUGCCCUCCUUCAUGAAACUGUGUGUGCCCAGCUCACAGCCAGAGGCUGGGUGAGCUGGGCAGCCUUUCUCUGGUUGUGGUACCCAUGUGGGGGGACAGACUGCUCCAACACAGCACAGGAACCCAGGUUACGAGCACUUGGAAAGGGUGUCUGUGCAGCAAAGCCUUCCAAGCACCAUUAAAGUUUUAUUUUUCAGAUUAUACUAUAAUGAUAUCCUAACCAUGAGAAGUCAAAUUUCCCAUCAUGUCAUGAUUUCAUCACAUUAAUUUCUCUCGCAUCCCCAACUCUCACUAUGUGCCAAACAAUCAUGGCUCUUUUUUGCUGUGCUUUAUCAUCUCCAAGCUUCUCCUGUAAUCUGUAAUCCACUGCCAACUAACAUUUGUACUCCACUCCCCACAAAUACCACCCAGGAAGAGAGUAGAGACAGUAUUUUAUGCUCACUUAAGCACAACUAUCCUGUUUUGGCACUCAAAGACAGAUGGGACAUUUAAAGCAUGCAAGUCGAAGGCACAAAUUUACAUCACACUCUGGUCACCAACACAGAAAUUCACCCCAUUACCUACAAUCAGCAUUAAGCAAACCAUUCAGGGCAGAUUGUCCUCUAUAAAACAUCAUGUUAAGGCCACUUUUUAAGAAGAAUGGCUAUAAUUGCUAAAUAUUUACAAAAUAUUGAUUGUUGAAAGGAUAUGCAAAUAUUACUCUUUCUCCAUUCAUGGGACAUGAUUGGACAGCAUUAAUGAUCCAAGUCCAUAACCACAAUUUCCCAAGUGGGGACUCUGGGAUACCAGCAGUUGCAGUCACAUGAUUUUUUAUUCUUUUUUUAAAUCAUUUUUUUGGUAUUGUGCUUCUUUAAAAUGAAAAUAGAUUAUUCAUAAUUCAUCUCUCAUCCACUGACUGAAGAACCUUCAUUUAAAGAAAAAAAGCAUUCACUUGAAUGUUAAGAGCAUGCAUGAAUCAAAUAUGAAACUAAAAGACAUUUAAUGAUAUUUGCACAAACACUUUCCAGCAAUGACUCUGAUUUUAAUUAUCCAGUGGAUGAACCCUGCCUGUGAACAACUCAAAUGGUAUUUUGCAGCCAAUUCCUAAUUCUGUGGUCCAUGUCUCCUAGACCAAUCUAGCUUUGCAGCUUUUGCACAAAUAUUUUUCAUUAUGCACCCUAAUUUUACAGCCCCUCAUUUUUCUCCUCUGCUUUUUCAUUUCUAAACGUUCUUUGUUUCUAUCUAUACAAUCAACCACAGUGCACACAAAAUAUAAUGUGGGAUAUAAAAUUGUGAAAAUAAAAUCUGGGAAAGUUGCAAGCAAUUUUUAUAGCAAAAAAAUACAUGUUCGAGAAGACAUAAAUAAAGAUUUUAAUAAGCCUCAUACAAA